CGUUGGGCUCGGAAGCGGCGGCGGUUCGACAGGCUGUGGGGACACAGACAGCGCGGGGCGGGCGCAGCUGAGCUGGGUGUUUGAGCAUGAGUUAUCCUUUCCCAUGCAUCCAGAUGCCAUAUCUUCUGCUAUCAGCAGACACCUCACAGGCAGGGAGAGGGCUUUGAAGUGUGGUGUGCGUGACUCUAGUUCCUGCUGAUGCAAGUCAGGAGUGCCAUAAUAAAGGGGACGUGGAAGCCCAGCCCAGAUGCCGGGGAGGAGGAAAGGGGAAGGGCCCGGAUGCUACACCUCCGGAAAUUAGCACAGAUCCUGCUGCCCUUUGCAACCUACAGGCAUUUGGAUGGCUGUGCAUUCCUGCUCUGAAAAUCUUCAACAGCAAUGUUGCUCCUGAGAUGGUGACAGUCCCGCAGCGCACCCUUCCUUUCCCAGACACCUGUCCUGGA